rnacentral:rRNA from 1 species
GACGAACCGUGCGACCGUUAUUCGGAAUCACUGGGCUUAAAGCGCGUGUAGGCGGGACGGCACGUCGGUCGCUGAAAGCCCCCGGCUCAACCGGGGAACGGGCGCCGAUACGACCGUCCUGGAGGGACGUAGGGGGACCUGGAACUUCCGGUGGAGCGGUGAAAUGCGUUGAGAUCGGAAGGAACGCCCGUGGCGAAAGCGAGGUCCUGGACGUUUUCUGACGCUGAGACGCGAAAGCCAGGGGAGCGAACGGG